rnacentral:rRNA from 1 species
UACAGAGAGUGCAAGCGUUAGUCGGAAUUAUUGGGCGUAAAGGGUGUGUAGGUGGUUGUAAAAGUUAGAUGUGAAAUCCCUGAGCUUAACUUAGGAACUGCAUUUAAUACUUUACGACUAGAGUAUUGUAGGGGGAAGUGGAAUUUCCGGUGUAGCGGUGAAAUGCGUAGAUAUCGGAAGGAACACCAGUGGCGAAGGCGACUUCCUGGACAAAUACUGACACUGUUACACGAAAGCGUGGGGAGCAAACAGGAUUAGAAACCCCAGUAGU